rnacentral:rRNA from 1 species
AGGUAACGUCAAGGUCGCGGGAUAUUAACCCGCAACUGUUUCUCCCUACUGAAAGUGCUUUACAACCCGCAGGCCUUCUUCACACACGCGGCAUUGCUGCAUCAGGCUUUCGCCCAUUGUGCAAUAUUCCCCA